rnacentral:tRNA from 1 species
GGGUGGUUAGCUCAGCUGGGAGAGCAACUCGUUUACACCGAGUAGGUCGGGGGUUCGAGCCCCUCACCACCCA